CCUACGGGAGGCAGCAGUGGGGGCUAUUGCACAAUGGGGGAAACCCUGAUGCAGCGACGCCGCGUGAGUGAAGAAGUAUUUCGGUAUGUAACGCUCUAUCAGCAGGGAAGAAAAUGACAGUACCUGACCAAGAAGCCCCGGCUAACUACGUGCCAGCAGCCGCGGUCAUACGUAGGGGGCAAGCGUUAUCCGGAUUUACUGGGUGUAAAGGGAGCGUAGACGGUUAUGUAAGUCUGGAGUGAAAGCCCGGGGCUCAACCCCGGGACUGCUUUGGAAACUGUGUAACUGGAGUACAGGAGGGGCAGGCGGAAUUCCUGGUGUAGCGGUGAAAGGCGUAGAAAUCAGGAGGAAAACCGGCGGCGAGGGCGGCCUGCUGGACUGAAACUGACGUUGAGGCUCGAAAGCGUGGGGAGCAAACAGGAGUAGAUACCCGAGUAGUC
rnacentral:rRNA from 1 species